rnacentral:rRNA from 1 species
CAAUGGGCGCAAGCCUGAUCCAGCCAUGCCGCGUGUCUGAAGAAGGCCUUCGGGUUGUAAAGGACUUUUGUCAGGGAAGAAAAGGCUGUUGCUAAUACCAGCGGCCGAUGACGGUACCUGAAGAAUAUCCCGAUUCUUCAACC